rnacentral:rRNA from 1 species
GCUAGUAAUCGCGAAUCAGAAUGUCGCGGUGAAUACGUUCCCGGGUCUUGUACACACCGCCCGUCACACCACGGGAGUCGGAUAUGCCCGAAGUCAGUGACCCAACCAUAUGGAGGGAGCUGCCGAAGGUGGAGCCGAUAACUGGGUGAAGUCGUAACAAGGUACC